rnacentral:tRNA from 1 species
GGGGAAUUAGCUCAGUUGGCUAGAGUACUUGCCUGGCAGGCAAGGGGUCACCGGUUCGAAUCCGGUAUUCUCCA